rnacentral:rRNA from 1 species
GACGAACCGUGCGAACGUUGUUCGGAUUCACUGGGCUUAAAGGGCGCGUAGGCGGCUUGCCAAGUCAGGGGUGAAAUCUUUCGGCUCAACCGGAAAAGUGCUUCUGAUACUGGCGGGCUGGAGGGGGGUAGGGGCAGAUGGAACUUCCGGUGGAGCGGUGAAAUGCGUAGAUAUCGGAAGGAACGCCGGUGGCGAAAGCGGCCACCUGGACGGUAACUGACGCUGAGACGCGAAAGCGUGGGGAGCAAACAGG